rnacentral:lncRNA from 1 species
GCCCCUCCCCCUUCCCCUUGCAGCCACCCUCCACUACUUCCUCCUCUCUCUAGAUCUCCCCCCACGCAGCAAGGAUCGAGAAGAGGAGGAGCAAGAUGGAUUGAAGAGGAAGAGAGGAUCAAGGAGAUGUUCUACCCCCAUCUCUUGCAGAUUUUCUUAGGGAAACCCUAGGUAAGGAUAGGAUCCUUGUUCCUCCCUAUAAUUAUAUGCUUUUGGAGGUUGUGGAUCAUGUGGAUUGAAGGAUUAGAGGUUGGAUUAGAUGUGGGGUUAGGUUUUGAUCUCGAAUUUAAUUUCUGCAGAAUGACAGAUUCAACAGUUUCUGUUCAUGUCAGUUUUCCGUGGUCUUAAUGGCCUCAAAAAAAUAAAAAGUCUAUAUAUGAGUCGUAUAUAAUUUGUAGGUCUUUCCGUGGCCAUGAAGAACACCUCAAUCGGACAUCAGAACAGAAAGUUAUUGCAGUUUGAUUAUAGCAGUUUUUCAGUCUCAUAAUUUUGUGCAGAAUCUGUUCUCUUAAGAGUUAGGCAAUUUUAUCAACAGAAUUAAACUGUGGGUUGGUAAAAUAAGUUGUAGAUAAUUUCAUAAGCUUUCCAGAUUGUUAAAGAGUGUAUUCAUAUGAUUUAUAAAACUCCAGUUAUGUUUGUUUUACUGUGGCUGUUCCUGUUUGCCUGACAAAAAUGAGUGGGUCUGUUCACUGGUGGGUUUCAUCUAGUAAAUGGCCUAAUUGGCUCUUCCAACUGUGGAGACUUUUGUAGAGGGAUAAAAGUUCUUACUGCCAGCAGAAUUUUAUAAUUUUUGGUUCAGUAGUUUGGGAGAUAUCGAAUUUUGAAGUUAACUAGGCUGCUGUCUAAAACAGAUUCAGUCAGUUAUCUUGUCAGAUGUUUUAGAAUAUAUUGAUGGCAGAAUUUAAUUAUCCAUUGAAUACCGAAGUUGUAGAUUGUUUUGUGUAGAUACUCUUAGAGUAUUUGUUUGAUAUCACCAAUGUUUUAAUUUUAAAGAUACAAAAUUAACAAACAGCGCUGCUGCUGUAUAGCAUGUGGUUCAGGGUGGGAGUCUUUCCACUAUGUCUUGGUUUCAAGUGUAGGAGUGUUUUGUUGAUUGCUAGCAAAUAUUUGUGAAAUAUUUGUACUAAGUUUUAUGCAGAUGAAGUCUUAUUUGAGGUAUGCAUGUGGUUCAUGAGAUUAAUUCACACCCCUGAAGGCAGAUGAAGUCUUAUUUGAGGUUUGCAUUGUAUCUAAAGGCAUAUGAAGUAUUAUUUGAGGAUUGCAUUGUAUCUGAAGGCAGAUAAAGUAUUAUUUGAGGUUUGUAUUGUAUCUAAAGGAAGUGAAAUUUAUUGAUAAAUGCAGCAUGCCAUAUACAUUGCAUGACUCAUUUGCAUCUGAAGUUUUGUCGUGACCUAUGGUCCGACCGUACCGGUACAACUUAGCAUCGUACGUUGCCCGAGAAGGGGUACGAUGCAGCUUCAUACCCUUAGAGGUAUGAAGGCAGAGGACAUAUGCAUUACAUUCAUAUGCAUACAUUGAAGUGAUAUUUGCAGAUGAUGUGGUUUUAUACCCUCAAAGGUAUGAAGAUAGAUGACCUACACAUUGCUUUCCUAUGCAUACAUUGAAGUGAUAUUUGCAGGUAUUGUUGAUGCAGGGAAGUGUUAUACAACAUAUUGUGGUUGUUCGAGGAAAUGAGAUGGUAUUAGUUAUAUUGUGACUACUGAGUUCUAUAUCUACAAGUAUUUCUGAUCUUGAUUGUGAUUCUUUUAAAAUGUUGAUUAAUUCAAUGUGGUUUAAAUAUCUCGUCAAAACAAUUAGCUUGCUGAGAUGUUUCAUCUCACUCUUGCAUUACUCAAUGCAGGUGCUUGUUGCUCAUCAAGGGGAGUGGGAAGUAGCAGCACAUACACCUUCACUCUCAUAAUAACGCUGCCCAGGCG